rnacentral:rRNA from 1 species
UUGGAGGGCAAGUCUGGUGCCAGCAGCCGCGGUAAUUCCAGCUCCAAUAGCGUAUAUUAAAGUUGUUGCAGUUAAAAAGCUCGUAGUUGAAUUUCGGGAUCAGUACGCCGGUCGUGCCUUCGGUAUGCACUGGUGUCACUGGUUUCUCCCUUCUGAAGAACCAUCAUGCCAUUCAGUUGGUGUGGCGGGGAAUCAGGACUGUUACUUUGAAAAAAUUAGAGUGUUUAAAGCAGGCUCGCGCUUGAAUACAUUAGCAUGGAAUAAUGAAAUAGGACGUUUGACCCUAUUUUGUUGGUUUCUAGGAUCGACGUAAUGAUUAAUAGGGAUAGUUGGGGGCAUUAGUAUUCAAUUGUCAGAGGUGAAAUUCUUGGAUUUAUUGAAGACUAACUACUGCGAAAGCAUUUGCCAAGGAUGUUUUCAUUAAUCAAGAACGAAAGUUAGGGGAUCGAAGACGAUCAGAUACCGUCGUAGUCUUAACCAUAAACUAUGCCGACUAGGGAUCGGAUGAUGUUAAUUUUUUAAUGAUUCAUUCGGCACCUUACGGGAAAC